UCGGGAAUUUUGGGCAAUGGGCGAAAGCCUGACCCAGCAACGCCGCGUGAGGGAUGAAGUAUUUCGGUAUGUAAACCUCGAAAGAAUGGGAAGAAUAAAUGACGGUACCAUUUAUAAGCUCCGGCUAACUACGUGCCAGCAGCCGCGGUAAUACGUAGGGAGCAAGCGUUGUUCGGAUUUACUGGGCGUAAAGGGCGCGUAGGCGGCGCGGUAAGUCACUUGUGAAAUCUCUGGGCUUAACUCAGAACGGCCAAGUGAUACUGCUGUGCUAGGGUGCGGAAGAGGCAACCGGAAUUCUUGGUGUAGCGGUGUAAUGCGUAGAUAUCAAGUGGAACACCUGAGGCGAAGGCGGGUUGCUGGGCCGACACUGACGCUGAUGCGCGAAAGCCAGGGG
rnacentral:rRNA from 1 species